UAAUCUCUUUUUUUCUCUCUCCCUCUCUCUGGUUUCUGCCCAGAGGCCAGGGCUAGGCAGAGCCGUAACGAAGGAUUUGUCUGUGAAAUUCACAGAGGUUCCUGGGUUGUUUGCAGAAUUGCAUUUCAGUUUCCCUGACGGGCUAUCUUGG